UUCCUUUUCUGGGCUUAUUAGCCUUAUUCACAACAGAUUAGGGUUCACAUUUUCAACAAAACUCAAAUUUAGGCAUCAAUAUAAAAACCUGCUCAUAAUUUUCAUACAUUAAUUGUGGAUAAAAAGGGUUUUCAGAUUUUGUACAAAAAGUAUGGGGAGUUUAAUCAGGAGUUUUUUCCAAUCUGUGAUGAAAAUGUUCAAUGCAAUUGUUGGAAUGGCUGGGAUUGCAAUGGUGAUCUACGGUCUAUGGAUGAUCCGGGUUUGGCAGAAGCAAACGGGUCAAUCUCCCUUCGAUGAUUCGGACUACCCAGUUCCAUGGUUCAUCUAUACCUUUUUAGGACUUGGUGUUAUCUUUUGUGUGAUUACAUGCUCAGGUCAUAUUGCUGCAGAAACUUUGAAUGGAUGCUGUUUAUAUCUAUACAUGAUGAUUGUGUUCUUACUGCUCGUGCUAGAAGGUGUUGUAACAGCAGAUGUUUUCCUGAACCAUCACUGGGAGCAGGACUUCCCAAAAGAUGUUUCAGGGAAUCUGCAUGAGUUGAAAGUUUUUGUAGGUGAAAAUUUUGAUUUCUGCAAAUGGAUUGGCUUGUCAAUUCUGGCAGCACAGGGACUGUCAUUUCUGCUGGCUAUGGUGCUGAAAGCUAUGGGCCCGCAUAGAGAAAGAUACUAUGACAGUGAUGAGGAGUAUGCCUCUACAAGGCAUCCUCUUUUGAGAAACUCUGCUAAUCCGCCUCAUGUUGCUGUUGACCCUCUCUAUAUGCCUAAUAAGUGACCACAACAUAUGGGCUUCAUGUGCCUACAAAAAUGGCCAAGGGAUGCAACAUACUCCACAAUUUAUUUGAUUUGCUUCCCGGGAUACAUGUCGGAUGUUGUUGAUGUCACAAAUUUGGAUCAGGCAUCUAAUAUCUUCGAAUAUUGGAUGAUUGAAUCUUCACUACCAAGAUUCCAUGGAAAGGGUGUGACAGCUUGUGGAUGGCUGAUUUUCGUUUAUGAAGAUUAUUAAUUCAUCCAGGAGAUACUGUUUUUGUGUUUAAUGAAUGUAAAUUUUGUGUAUAUGUAAUGUGUUCAUCCUCAGUCUUCCAUAGGCUUGUAAAAGUUCCUUUGAGUUCCUUGUUUCAGUACUAAUGUGAUUAUCAAUUGAUCAAAGUGACAAUCCAUCGGAUUUGCAACAAUACCGAGAGCCACCUAGCUUGAUACUCAACCUCAGCUAAUAUUGGAGCUACGGGUUCAUCACCGCAUCCACCAGCUUAGUCUAACUUCCUCAACAAGCUUUAUUCUAAGUUUGUUAUGUUAGUUAGAGGUUGUAAUGAGUUGGUUAGAUAAUUUAUUAUUACCUUUAAUUAAUUCUUUUACAUAGAUCUGUAACAUAAAUAGAUACUUUGUAUCUCUCUAGAUUGUAUUCAAUCCUUACAAUCAAUCAAUGAUUUCAAUCUCUUAGAUUCUCUCA